AAAUUUUUUAGUUUACUAACCAAACUAAUAUAAUUACAUAUUUAAUAUAAUUCUUUUUCAGAGGACUUCACACAGAAAUCAAGCUCAGGCAAUCAACCAAUUGACCCUAAAAAAGGAAUAUUCGAGAGAUUUGAUUGGAAAUGGCCUAAAAAGUCAGAAGCCGUCCAGUUUUCGGUCUAGAGAGGGUGUUUGGACUGAAGUACUCUCCAUAGACAAAGAACACAUCAUGUCAUCAGAUUCAGAAGAUGAGCUCAGUGCAGAAUACAGGAGGAAGUUAAGAUUGAAACAACGCUUAGGUAUGGAUUUUUACAUAUUAUAAACUGUAAUUAAAAAAUUAUUCCUCUUCCAU
rnacentral:lncRNA from 1 species